AACGCACAUUGCGCCCGUUAGUAUUCUGACGGGCAUGCCUGUUCGAGCGUCAUUUCAACCCUCAAGCACUGCUUGGUGUUGGUGGAUUACAGCGCCUUUUUUUAAGGGACUGUAGCCGCCCAAAUUUAUUGGCGGUCUCGCUGUGGCACCCCCUGCGUAGUAGCUAAACCUCGCAUCGGGACCCGGCGGCGGCCUGCCGUUAAACACCCCAAAUUUACAAGGUUGACCUCGGAUCAGGUAGGAAUACCCGCUGAACUUAA
rnacentral:misc_RNA from 1 species